GGUUACCUACGGGGGGCAGCAGUGAGGAAUAUUGGUCAAUGGGCGAGAGCCUGAACCAGCCAAGUCGCGUGAGGGAGUACUGCCCUAUGGGUUACAAACCUCUUUUGUCGGGGAGCAAAAGCCGGACGUGUCCGGCUGUGAGAGUACCCGAAGAAAAAGCAUCGGCUAACUACGUGCCAGCAGCCGCGGUAAUACGUAGGGGGCAAGCGUUAUCCGGAUUUACUGGGUGUAAAGGGAGCGUAGACGGCAUAGCAAGUCUGAUGUGAAAGAUCGGGGCUCAACCCCGGGCCUGCAUUGGAAACUGU
rnacentral:rRNA from 1 species